AGCUUUUAAGAGAGUAUAAAAGGGGAACUAUUAUAGACCUUUAACCCAUAAAAGAUCAAUCUCAAACCUCUUUUCUCUCUACCUCCUCUCUCUUGUUCGAAGUUCAUCAAGAACACCUCCAUCGGAGGUAUUUUCUACUGUGAUUUCAGGAAGCAAAAAGGAGCAGCCACCACCGAGUUCAGCCACCUGUUACAGCCAUUAAAUGUGCCGAUUUUACCCCUGAAUUCGUUUGUUUUCCUGCUCAAUUAUCUCCCUCAAGUGCUGCUGCGAAACAGGAACGAAAAGGGGCGAGAAAGCUGCCGGAAACAUCCCCAACCACCCUAUUUUUUUCGACAACUUUGUGGCUGUUUCGAUACCGGGUCUUGAACGAAGCAAGAACCUCACCCAACCUCCAAUCUAAACUCGAGAAACACGCACCAAAUGUUGUUUAUAAGGUCAGAAGAGUUUGUAUAGAAGAUUCUCCGAUAUUUUUAUCAUACAAAUGCGAACACCGGAUUGUUAAGUGUAUGUAGUGAUUUAACAAUAGUCAUUAUCAAUGUAAUUUCUAUUUCGGUAAUAAUAAAAGAUUGUAUUUGUACUGUUCAA